CCUGGAUGGAGCGGCUCUGAAAACAUGCGAUGAUUUUUAUUUGCCCGCUAUACUAAAUCCUUAUUCUAAAAAUUUCUAAUACAAUAUUUGCUUGAGUGCGCACCCAGGGCACAGAUGCCAAGGGCUUCUGCGCUUAUUGCUCGUCAGACGAACUGCAAUAAGCGCAGAAGCCCUAGGUACGAGGUUGAUCGCCAGCCAGAAAAUCAACCUCGUUCCCAGGUUAUUACUCUUUGGGAGGAAAGACCCUGGUAGGAGCUGGUCACGUGAUCUGUUAAAAUCUAGCAGAUUUUUAAUUUAUAACUUUGCAUAUCAUUUUGUUUUGCAAGUUUGAUUUGAUUUUUAAGGAAUCCAAUAUAGUUAAUUAAAAAUCUGCCAGAUUUUAGAAUAUCACGUGACCAGCUCCUGCCAAUCUUUCUUCCACAAGAGAUAAGAACCUGGGAACGAGGAAUAAAAGCCAGAAAACUCGGUAAAUGUCUAUAAGUAUAAACUACGAAAUUUUGUAUCAACUUACUGUGCGUCAUUUAGAGACGUUAAUUAUUUUCUUUUUAUUGCGCUUACUUGCUUAUGCAUACCUCCUCCUGUUUUGCUUACAGGUGUGAAUUAGCAGCAUAUGAAGAUAUCAUUUAUCAAGACUCCGCUAGGGGGCUGUUUAUAUGGAAGCCGGGCUGGCCCGCUUAGCGAGACAGCCCGGCAAGCGAGAUCUCACUG